AUUGAACGCUGGCGGCAGGCCUAACACAUGCAAGUCGAACGAGUGGCGGACGGGUGAGUAAUGUCUGGGAAACUGCCUGAUGGAGGGGAAUAACUACUGGAAACGGUAGCUAAUACCGCAUACCAUCGGAUGUGCCCAGAUGGGAUUGGCUAGUAGGUGGGGUAAAGGCUCACCUAGGCGACGAUCCCUAGCUGGGAUGAGAGGAUGACCAGCCACACUGGAGCUGAGACACGGUCCAGACUCCUACGGGAGGCAGCAGUGGGGAAUAUUGCACAAUGGGCGGAAGGCUUAUGCAGCCAUGGCGCGUGUAUGAAGAAGGCCUUCGGGUUGUAAAGUACUUUCAGCGGGGAGACGUUACCCGCAGAAGAAGCACCGGCUAACUCCGUGCCAGCCGCCGCGGUAAUUC
rnacentral:rRNA from 1 species